rnacentral:rRNA from 1 species
AUUGAACGCUGGCGGCAUGCCUUACACAUGCAAGUCGAACGGUAACGCGGGGGCAACCCUGGCGACGAGUGGCGAACGGGUGAGUAAUACAUCGGAACAUAUCCAGUAGCGGGGGAUAACCUAUCGAAAGAUGGACUAAUACCGCAUACGAUCUAAGGAUGAAAGCAGGGGACCGCAAGGCCUUGCACUAUUGGAGUGGCCGAUGUCGGAUGAGCUAGUUGGUGGGGUAAAAGCCUACCAAGGCGACGAUCCGUAGCUGGUCUGAGAGGACGAUCAGCCACACUGGAACUGAGACACGGUCCAGACUCCUACGGGAGGCAGCAGUGGGGAAUUUUGGACAAUGGGCGCAAGCCUGAUCCAGCCAUGCCGCGUGAGUGAAGAAGGCCUUCGGGUUGUAAAGCUCUUUCGGUGAAGACGAAACGGUUAGCGCUAAUAACGCUGACUAAUGACGGUACUCACAGAAGAAGCACCGGCUAACUACGUGCCAGCAGCCGCCGUAA